rnacentral:rRNA from 1 species
UACGGGGAGGCAGCAGUGGGGGAAUAUUGCACAAUGGGCGCAAGCCUGAUGCAGCCAUGCCGCGUGUGUGAAGAAGGACCUUCGGGUUGUAAAGCAACUUUCAGUCGUGAGGAAGGUAGUGUAGUUAAUAGCUGCAUUAUUUGACGUUAGCGACAGAAGAAGCACCGGCUAACUCCGUGCCAGCAGCCGCGGUAAUACGGAGGGUGCGAGCGUUAAUCGGAAUUACUGGGCGUAAAGCGCAUGCAGGUGGUUUGUUAAGUCAGAUGUGAAAGACCCGGGGCUCAACCUCGGAAUAGCAUUUGAAACUAGGCAGACUAGAGUACUGUAGAGGGGGGUAGGAAUUUCAGGUGUAGCGGUGAAAUGCGUAGAGAUCUGAAGGAAUACCGGUGGCGAAGGCGGCCCCCUGGACAGAUACUGACACUCAGAUGCGAAAGCGUGGGGAGCAAACAGGAUUAGAUACCCUGGUAG